GACGAAGGGGGCAAGCGUUGUUCGGAAUUACUGGGCGUAAAGGGCGCGUAGGCGGUCUUGUUAGUCAGGCGUGAAAGCCCUGGGCUUAACCUAGGAUGUGCGCUUGAUACUGCAAGGCUUGAGUGUGGGAGAGGUUGGUGGAAUUCCCAGUGUAGAGGUGAAAUUCGUAGAUAUUGGGAAGAACACCGGUGGCGAAGGCGGCCAACUGGACCACAACUGACGCUGAGGCGCGAAAGCGUGGGGAGCAAACAGG
rnacentral:rRNA from 1 species